UUAAACUGAAGAGUUUGAUCCUGGCUCAGAUUGAACGCUGGCGGCAUGCCUUACACAUGCAAGUCGAACGGCAGCACGGGUGCUUGCACCUGGUGGCGAGUGGCGAACGGGUGAGUAAUACAUCGGAACGUGUCCUGUAGUGGGGGAUAGCCCGGCGAAAGCCGGAUUAAU
rnacentral:rRNA from 1 species